GAUUUUGAUUUGAAAUUGAGUUAAUUGAAUAAAUUUUAAAACUGAGCUAAUAGGCAACCAUUGAGUAUUUUGUGUUUCAAACAUUCAAUUCUUGGGUACAAUUGUUGCCCUACUGAAGUAUGGUAAACAUGGUGCAGAUUGAAGGGGAGGACGAAUCACGCAAAAAACCUCUAGUGGAUCAGAGGUCAAAGAUCAAAAGUUUGAGAUUCAGAGCCAUCUAGACAGCAUAGAUAGCAAAGCACAGCAAUGGGACACCUCACAUUGCUGCAAUCAGUGGCAAGACCAGGCACAAUAUCACAUUGCAUGCACCAUUUUCAACAAAUGGAACAUUGUGGUUCUAUAUCUUGUAAACCUUUGAUUUUUGGCUCUGGCUUCACUGGAGAUUUUUUGCGUGUUUCGGCUUCCCUUUUCGAUCUGUACUACUUUUGGCAUUCUUCAGUGGGACAAUUGUACUUAAAUUUUUUUUAGAUAUAUAUAUAUAUAU
rnacentral:lncRNA from 1 species